rnacentral:tRNA from 1 species
AGGACCGUAGCUCAACUGGUUAGAGCACUUGACUGAUACUCAAGAGGUUAGCGGUUCGAGUCCGCUCGGUCCUACAA